AGUGAACGCUGGCGGUAGGCCUAGCACAUGCAAGUCGAACGGCAGCACAGGAGAGCUUGCUCUCUGGGUGGCGAGUGGCGGACGGGUGAGGAAUACAUCGGAAUCUACACUGUCGUGGGGGAUAACGUAGGGAAACUUACGCUACUACCGCAUACGACCUACGGGUGAAAGCAGGGGACCUUCGGGCCUUGCGCGAUUGAAUGAGCCGAUGUCGGAUUAGAUAGUUGGCGGGGUAAAGGCCCACCAAGGCGACGAUCCGUAGCUGGUCUGAGAGGAUGAUCAGCCACACUGGAACUGAGACACGGUCCAGACUCCUACGGGAGGCAGCAGUGGGGAAUAUUGGACAAUGGGCGCAAGCCUGAUCCAGCCAUACCGCGUGGGUGAAGAAGGCCUUCGGGUUGUAAAGCCCUUUUGUUGGGAAAGAAAUCCAGCUGGCUAAUACCCGGUUGGGAUGACGGUACCCAAAGAAUAAGCACCGGCUAACUUCGUGCCAGCCGCCGCCGUAA
rnacentral:rRNA from 1 species